UUCCCUUUCAAACACACCCCCUUUGAAAUCAAAACCACCCCAUCUGAUAUCAAGCCCCACCCUAUCGAAAAUUCCCUCCUCUUGCAAACACACCCCAUCAAAUUUACAACAAGCUCCACCGCACACCCCAUCGUCUUUGAAACAGAGUCAUCGCCCAACCCAUCUCUGCAAACCACCGAACUCCAUCGCACAAUCCAUCUCUGCAAACCCGAACCCAUCUCUGAAACAGAGCCAUCACACCCCACAGCCAACCCCAAAUGCCUCACCCCGUCGCAAACCACCAUCUCCUCAACCAUCUCAAGCAUCCAUCACCAAUCUGUCAAGUUUUCACAAAUCCUUUGAAGAGCCAAGGUUUGAUUUCGAUUUCGAUUUCUAUAUUUACAUUUCUAAGUGUUGAUUAAGCCUACGUUUGAUUUCACUUUUGAAAAGCCAAAGUCUGAUUUUAAUUUUUGAUUUCAACGUUGUGGGUGUAUGGUUCGAACAUGGUUUUACAAAACUAGAAUAUAGUUUCGGUGGAUUACCACCGAAAUGGUUCCGUUGCUUUAGUGGUAGUCCACCGAAUUUGAACUUGAUCUGUACUAAAAUUAAUUUUACUUUCGGUGGGUUACCACCGAAAUCGUUACCUUAUUUCAGUGGUAAUACACCGAAUUUGUUUCUAUUUUUUAGGAGAUUCCCACCAAAUUUAUUUCUGUUUUUCAGUGGUACUCCAGCAAUAUGUGUUCUUUUUUCAAUGAUAAUCCACUGAAUUUGUUUCCGUUUUUCAGUGAUUAUCUACCGAAUAUAGGAGCGUGACAAACGUAUGUUGUCCUUUACUAGGCCGUUCGUGGCAUUAGGGGAAAUAGCUGCAUUGCGUACACGACCUUCCCAAGUUCAACAAGCAGUUGAGACCUUGCAACAGAUUUUAGAGGGUACAAACAUACGGUCUACCAUGACAUAUCAAUGUCGUCAUGGUUAACUGACUUGCUAGCAUGCAUUUAUUAGAACUCAUGAAACUUUUGUUGUUUUGAUUAGUUAUUGCAUGUUUGUAUUAUUAGAACUCAUGGAACUUUUGUUGUUUUGAUUAGUUAUGAAGUUUGUC
rnacentral:lncRNA from 1 species